rnacentral:lncRNA from 1 species
UGUCUUAAAUGUCUUCGUAUGCCAUAAAAUAAUGCUUCCCAUUCACAGAGUACUUUAUGUUUUUCAGGUGAUUUCACACAGUAUCCUUCACCAGAAUAUGGUUACACGUUGGGGAGCCACUACUGCUCUUUUAGAAAUGAGAAAACUGAACCCGCUAGAGGAUAUAAACCAGCAAGGUGCUUUGACAAGAGGCUUGUUAAAUGGAGAAUGGAACCAGGUUAUUCACUGUGGUCAUAUGUUAAAUGACAGGGCUGAGACCUCUCCUCAGCACAUCUGAUACUGGGAUCGAUGAAGAUCAGAUGUGCAAAUCACACUGGGCUCCGGAAAGCCCUAGACUAUGUCAUUCAAGGUGGGAGGAUUUGCUUCUCUGGUAAGCUGUGGAAAGAUCCUCUGUGGAUUAAGACCUUUCAUUUCUCUUGAAGGAUGAAUGGAUAUUAUAAGUCCCAAGGAUUCAAUAAAACCUUUAUAGCCUUAGUAUAGCAGAGUGUCCGUCAGCCAAUUCUGUGAUUUUACUGUGUUUGUCUUUUGCAAAAAUCCAUGUGAAACCUCAAAUGUUCCUUUUACAAGUUCUUUUGUUACACACACAUGUUUUUGGUUAAAUUAGUGGUGGUUCAAUCUGGAAAAGAUAUCUGUAAUUAGAGUCUUAUUUUUGAAGUUUAAAAAGGGUUGGGGGAAGCACAUAUUCUAUCAACUUUUCCUCACAGAAAAACUUACUCUAUCUUCAAAAGCUGUGACCCAACACAGCAGUUUCUAGGAUCCUCCAGAAGGAAAAUUUUCACUUACUGCCAUAUUGUCAGAAAAAGAGGAGGCUUCUAAAAGUUUUAAAGAGUUUUUUUCUCUCCUCAAAACUCAAGUAUGUACUUGUUAAAUAAUAAUUCACGUAAUUUGUAGAGUGUGUUAGCUUUCAAGACCCACUUAUGAAACCAGUAGUUCCACUUACGUAGGAUAGGUAUUAUUAUCAUCAUCAUCAUCAUCAUUUUUUUAAAUAAAGAGAAGAGUAGAAAACGCAUGUGCCCUGCCUUCUGUUGAACUAAAAGAGAUAAGGUGAAAACUUAACCUCGUGAUGUAGAAAACUAAUUCCUAUUUCUCUCUCUUAUGGAUCCAAGCAUCAAAAGAUAUCGUAUGACAAUGUCUCAACAGGCAGAUGGCAGAAAUAUCACAACUCUAGCAUUCCCUGAAAUAUUAGUGGACUACAGAAUCAUGCAGUCCAGGUAAAGAAUCAGGCUACAUUACAGGCUGUGCCACAUUCUUAGCAACAGAGAAGGAAG